rnacentral:lncRNA from 1 species
UUCCUUCGAGGGCACCCCUCAGUCUCUAUGAUAAUUUCUUCAUGUCUUGUCCAGGGGCCAGGGGGGCCUUGCUUAUAUAGUCCUCCCCUUCUAUGCGUUUUUGGGUCGAUAGGCGAGGUGGUACUAUGUUUUUCUUGAUCCAAUAGGUCGGUGGAAUGUCCGGAGCGAAGAGAGUACUGAUCUGGCUCCAGAGGGGGGCGGGCGCCCAGGUCCUCAGGGCGGGCGCCCUGGGCCUGGCCCCGUUUCGCCUCCGCUUCGGUCUCGUGGCUUCUGGAGUCUUCUAGAUGGUGUAAAAUUGCGCGGUGCGUUGAUAUCUCUAUGUAAUCCCGACAUGUGGGCCUUUCUUCCUUAUUUCCUGAUAACCCCCUGCAGAAACAGAUAAACAACAAAACUCGUGGAAUUCUGUCAGAUCAAACCCUAAUUCUAGGUGUUGGUUGCAUAUUGGUCCUUUCUCUUGUUUAUUUGAUAAUUAAAAUUGAUACUUAAGAACCGUCAACAAAUACCCCCAUACUUAGGCUUUUACUCGUCCUCGAGAAAAGGAUGGUUAAGAAAAAUAUCUGGGGUAAACAUUUUAAAAACAUUCUUUAUAUAAUUGCAGGGUGUUAAAAUUCCACUGUGUACCAUAGUCAGGGAAGUAUAUGGUUAAGAGUAAAGAUCCUUUCUUCUCAAUCCUAUCACUUGGAUUUUUUGUAUAUAUUUUUGAAAGAAAGUUAGCAUACCUUUUGAUCCUCAUAGGUUCUCUCAAAUCACUCAUUAUCUUUUAUAUAUAUAUCUCACUGAGGUUGUUUUAUUUUGCAAAAAUUCUCAAGCAUUCUUACUUUGCAUUUAUUGCCUCAUCAAAACGGGAUCCGAGGAGGGGAAUGUCAUACUCUUAGAUCAAAGACUUUGGAAAUUUAAAACUUUGUCAACUCUUGCUGGCAUAUUGCUUAUUAGAGGGACCAUGGGCUAUCAUUUUUUUUCUCUUUUCUCUUUUCUUCCUUUUUUUAAGUGGAUACCGAGGUACCCCUAAUUCUACUGCCGGACACUUGUCCAUUUUUUCUGCGAGGUUGUCGAGCACUUGCUCCUUUUUAUUUCCUCGAAAUAUCUCUAUUUUUGCAUAGCACAUGCCUCUAAUGCAAUAAUACUUCGGAAGAGUGAAUCUUACUGAAAUAAUGUCUUGAUCUUGGGAGCAUGAUAAAUCUCUCAACAAGGGUCUAACUCAUUUUGAACAAACUCAAUACAGAGUAGAUAGCUUUUAUAAUCAUAAUUAAUAUUUUUAGUUUUAUCAGGCAUAUAAAACAGUGAGGAUGGUAGCUAGAAUUUUGAAUAUUUUGAAAUAAAUUCUCCAAGCAACAAUGAUAUCAAGAUUAAGAAACUCAUACUCUACCAUUCCAUAUUGACUUACGUAACACAGGGUUUUAAAAUGAUUUUAUAAUAAUUGCAAUUUUUCAGGAAAUACCAUAGAUUGAGAUUAAUCAUGAUUAGAAAUAUUUUUAAUCUUUUCAUCUUAUCAUGUCGGAAACAAUAUUCUACAUAAUCCAAAAUAAAUGUAUGUGUAAAGUGUGCAGAGUGUGUACCUGAAUCGUGGAGUGAUGUAGUUGGAGUGUGUUUGGCAUGUCAAGGGAUCUCCCCCAUACUUGUUUUCUGCUUUCUUGCACAAAGAUAAAGUAGAGACACACAAGACAUAAUAAUAAUAAUAAUACUCUUUAUUAAUCUUGAGGCAUUUAUUACAAAAGACUGAUAGCAAACUAAUAAUAGCAAACUUAAACUGAAUUUAAAGAUAGAUGACUAAGAUGCAUUGCCUCAAGGUCUAAUCUAGAUAACUUAGCGGCGCUCUAAUUCUUUGAUCUUCUUGUUGGCACUGGCAAGAUCCUGCCUAAGGCCUA